ensembl:lncRNA
CUCUAAAUGAUUCCUUUAAUUAAACAACAACUACAAACAUGCAACGUUAUAGAAGACGCACGAAUUAGGUAGGGAAAUACACGCGGAAACUAUAGUGCCACUGUAGCACUUGCAAAACCAACAGUAAGAUGUGCAUGCAGAGCUCCAAGGCAUUUUUCUAACACAUUUGAGGGGAACUAUACAAGUAUGCUGUGAAGCUGUUGUCGCUUCUUGUCUUUAUCGGUGUUACAUUUUUCCCGAGGAGUCGUGAAAGGAAAGGAUGCAGCUUUUUAGUUCGUUUUGCAGUUUGUCUAUUGGAAUAACACAUGAUGCCCUGGAAACACAUAUGUAUGUGUAAAUAACGACGAUGAGAUUAUAACAUUUGAUAGCACACUAUGGAUACGUAUCUGGCUGUAAAGGAAAUCACGCACAGAAUGAGCAGUAUGGCUGGUGGCGUUGUCAUGCUGGAGGGUCAUGUCAGGAUGAGCCUGCAGGAAGAGUACCACAUGAGGUAGGAUGAUAUGUCUUCCCUGUAACGCACAGUGUUGAGAUUGCCUGCAAUGACAACAAACUCAGUCCGGUGAUGCUGUUACACACUGCCCCAGACCAUGACGGACCCUCCACCUCCAAAUUGAUCCCGCUCCAGAGUACAGACCUCGGUGUAACACUCAUGCCUUCCAUGAUAUAUGCGAAUCCGACCAUCAUCCCUGGUUCCACAAAUCCGCGACUCGUCAGUAAAGAGCACUUUUUGUAAGUCCUGUCUGGUCCAGUGACGGUGGGUUUGUGCUCAUAGGCGACGUUGUUGCUGGUGAUGUCUGGUUAGGACCUGACUUACAACAGGCCUACUGGCUCGCAGUCCAGCCUCUCAGCCUAUUGGAUACAGUCUGAGCACUGAUGGAGGGAUUGUGCGUUCCUGGUGUAACUCAGGCAGUUGUUGUUGCUGUCCUGUACCUGUCCCGCAGGUGUAAUGUUCGGAUGUACCGAUCCUGUGCAGGUGUUGUUACACGUGGUCUGCCACUGCGAGGACGAUCAGCUGUCCGUCAUGUCUCCCUGUAGCGCUGUCUUAGGCGUCUCACAUUACGGACAUGGCAAUUUAUUGCCCUGGCCACAUCUGCAGUCCUCAUGCCUCCUUGCAGCAUGAAAAAAAC